CCUACGGGAGGCAGCAGUGAGGAAUAUUGGUCAAUGGACGCAAGUCUGAACCAGCCAUGCCGCGUGCAGGAAGACGGCCCUAUGAGUUGUAAACUGCUUUUGUACGAGGGUAAACGCAGAUACGCGUAUCUGUCUGAAAGUAUCGUACGAAUAAGGAUCGGCUAACUCCGUGCCAGCAGCCGCGGUAAUACGGAGGAUUCAAGCGUUAUCCGGAUUUAUUGGGGUUAAAGGGUGCGUAGGCGGUCGGAUAAGUUAGAGGUGAAAUUCCGAGGCUCAACUUCGGAAUUGCAGCUGAUACUGUUCGGCUAGAGAGUAGUUGCGGUAGGCGGAAUGUGUGGUGUAGCGGUGAAAUGCUUAGAGAUCAUACAGAACACCGAUUGCGAAGGCAGCUUACCAGGCUACUUCUGACGUUGAGGCACGAAAGCGUGGGGAGCAAACAGGAUUAGAUACCCCUGUAGUC
rnacentral:rRNA from 1 species